UGCAGUCGAACGAUGAAGCCCUUCGGGGUGGAUUAAUGGCGAACGGGUGAGUAACACGUGGGCAAUCUGCCCUUCACUCUGGGACAAGCCCUGGAAACGGGGUCUAAUACCGGAUAACACUUUCCUCUGCAUGGGGGAAGGUUGAAAGCUCCGGCGGUGAAGGAUGAGCCCGCGGCCUAUCAACUUGUUGGUGGGGUGAUGGCCCACCAAGGCGACGACGGGUAGCCGGCCUGAGAGGGCGACCGGCCACACUGGGACUGAGACACGGCCCAGACUCCUACGGGAGGCAGCAGUGGGGAAUAUUGCACAAUGGGCGAAAGCCUGAUGCAGCGACGCCGCGUGAGGGAUGACGGCCUUCGGGUUGUAAACCUCUUUCAUCAGGGAAGAAGCGAAAGUGACGGUACCUGCAGAAGAAGCGCCGGCUAACUACGUGCCAGCAGCCGCGGUAAUACGUAGGGCGCAAGCGUUGUCCGGAAUUAUUGGGCGUAAAGAGCUCGUAGGCGGCUUGUCGCGUCGGAUGUGAAAGCCCGGGGCUUAACCCCGGGUCUGCAUUCGAUACGGGCAGGCUAGAGUGUGGUAGGGGAGAUCGGAAUUCCUGGUGUAGCGGUGAAAUGCGCAGAUAUCAGGAGGAACACCGGUGGCGAAGGCGGAUCUCUGGGCCAUUACUGACGCUGAGGAGCGAAAGCGUGGGGAGCGAACAGG
rnacentral:rRNA from 1 species